rnacentral:rRNA from 1 species
GAUGAACGCUGGCGGCGUGCCUAAUACAUGCAAGUCGAGCGAACAGACGAGGAGCUUGCUCCUCUGACGUUAGCGGCGGACGGGUGAGUAACACGUGGAUAACCUACCUAUAAGACUGGGAUAACUUCGGGAAACCGGAGCUAAUACCGGAUAAUAUAUUGAACCGCAUGGUUCAAUAGUGAAAGACGGUUUUGCUUUCACUUAUAGAUGGAUCCCCGCCGCAUUAGCUAGUUGGUAAGGUAACGGCUUACCAAGGCAACGAUCCGUAGCGGCCCUGAGAGGGUGACCGGCCACAUUGGAACUGAGAAAGGGUCAAGACUCCUAGGGGAGGAAGCAGUAGGGAAUCUUCGGCAAUGGGCGAAGGCCUGACGGAGCACCGCGGCGUGAGGGAUGAAGGUCUUCGGAUCGAAAACCUCUGUUAUAAGGGAGGAACAAAUGUGUAAGUAACUAUGCACGUAUUGACGGUAACUAAUCAGAAAGCCACGGCUAACUACGUG